GUCAGUGUGUCAUUGUGAAAGUGUGUCCAUGCCAGAUCGCUGAAGGAUGCCCCAGUGUAUGGAGUGCCCUGUAUAUGAGUGCUGUUUUUACAGUCAGACAAGUGACCUUGGCCGGAGCGGUGUGUGUGCAUCACAAAUGGGAGGCUGGCAGCUUUUGUCUGAUAUUCUGUGACUUCAGCAUCCAGAUGUUUCAUAUCAUGUAUUUCUUUACUGGUACUGAGUUCUCUUGGAGAUUCUUAUGAAGCAAAGACACAAUCCUCUUCCUGUUCCUGUUUCAGAAGACUCUGCAGGACAUCCAUUGUACCAUAAUAAUGUGACAGUCAUUAUAAACGCAGCUGGUAUCAUGCACUGGCACAUCACCCCAUUUCUUGUGAGUGACCCACACCUUCCAUUCAAGCGCCCAGAUAACUGCCCAGGUUUCCAAGAGACCUCCAUUUCCAACAGGACUUGCGGCACCAUGGAAGCAUUAUCAGAAAGCUCUCUGGAGAGCUUGGACUUGCAUCCAGCCCCAGUUUCCGUCCAGGAGCACGCAGCAGCUGCAAAAGAGCAGCCUCCUCUCCACUGCCACUGCACGGCUAAGAAGCUGAAUUUCUGUCCCUGCCUGUCCCCAAGGAAAAGAAGGCUGCGAGGUCUCUUAAGGAAUCUGCUCCUAUGUAUUUAG
rnacentral:lncRNA from 1 species